rnacentral:rRNA from 1 species
AACGGACGCUGGCGGCAUGCCUAACACAUGCAAGUCGAACGAGACCUUCGGGUCUAGUGGCGCACGGGUGCGUAACGCGUGGGAACCUGCCCUUAGGUUCGGAAUAACUCCCUGAAAGGGGUGCUAAUACCGGAUAAUGUCUUCGGACCAAAGAUUUAUCGCCUUUGGAUGGGCCCGCGUUGGAUUAGCUAGUUGGUAGGGUAAAAGCCUACCAAGGCGACGAUCCAUAGCUGGUCUGAGAGGAUGAUCAGCCACACUGGGACUGAGACACGGCCCAGACUCCUACGGGAGGCAGCAGUGGGGAAUAUUGGACAAUGGGCGAAAGCCUGAUCCAGCAAUGCCGCGUGAGUGAUGAAGGCCUUAGGGUUGUAAAGCUCUUUUACCCGGGAUGAUAAUGACAGUACCGGGAGAAUAAGCUCCGGCUAACUCCGUG